rnacentral:lncRNA from 11 species
AUAUACACAAAGACAAACAUGAGAACCCGGAGCUCUUUGCGAUUGUAAAAUGGAAGAAGAAUAGGGAAAUAUGCGAGACAGGAACUAUGAUUUAGAGCGAAGACCUUUCAUAAGAGACAGACCGAUUCAGGGAAAGAGUGGGGACAAUAUGAGGGGUGGGUGGUGGAAAAAACUGUGGCUACAUCCAAACCAAACGUGCAUAGAUUAAGUAACGCGUGCAACUUAGUGCACAGGAGUUCGUCAAGACGAAUGGUGCUUCGAAACCAGCGCGAUGCUCGUCGGCGCUGGUAAGAACCGGAAGACGCGAAACCGUUCACGAGAGAACGGGGACCUAUAGUGCAAGCAACAAAAGGGUGCCGGGAAAUCUUCAUGCAGUUUUACAUGCAAGCACUGUCCUUUAUCUGUACGGAAGGUUCCGAGACGGACGAAAACCAAGUCGCUAAGCAGCAAAAGUACAAGCUUCUUAACUAGAUGAAAGCUUCUGAACAUCGAAAUGAGAUAUCAACUGGAGUUACAAAUCAAGUCUGUAUGGUAACGACCGCAACUUUCGAUACAUGGCGAUUUCACUGGUCGGCAGGGGACACGCACGAAAUGGUACUAACAAGCUCAACCUAUCAGGCACCUCCAGGAGCAGAAGCAGGAGUGUUGGCAACGACAGCUAGCGCAGCGAGGCCCUCUCCGCAUCAGAAUCAAGAGCGACAAAAGGGAGAUAAGCAAUACAGUUGGGCCAGAACACUCGCCUUCCUGAUAUCUCCCUCUAAAUCCUGUUUGAAGUUAAAGAAUUGGUCACAACAGAAACAGAAGCCACCAGGAAAGAGAUCAUUGUUCAACAUCAACAGUAGCGGCGGCGAUGGCACUAGCAGCAGGCGCUGACAAAAAAGCAAGAGGGAGAAUUCUUGUGCCCGACUCUUGCAUUAACCUCUAUUUUUAUAAGCUUUUUUUUUCGUUAAAGGAGAAACCGCCGCGGCGGAUGCAGAGGACAAGUCAGCCGCUAAGCGUCAAGCCGUUACUGCAGACGCCUGCCAUUCGUUUAAUUUUUCAUCCACUGCCACAUUAGCAGGAGGUAGGUGGAUCCCGAUCGACUCGAACGUGGGAGCAGAAAAUAACGAUUGAAGGUUUGUAUACAUAGUAGAUUUUCGUUCAUUGUAAAUCAACAAGGCAGGCAUGAGCAGAAGCAUACGACCAAGGUCGAAAACACAGAGCUACUAUUGUUCUGUAUCUACAGUGGGUCGAGUUCUUGCGAGUCUCACUCGUUGCUGAAUUUUUCAAAGUGGAAGAGCCGGCAAGAGAGACGAACGAAACGAACCGCAGAGACGUAUCACGAAGUAGUUAGAGUGAAGUAAAUACACAACUGCUGUAAAUCUCGAGGUAUCAAGCGAUAAUUGCGUGAUGAAGAGUUUGUGUGGGCGUAGGAAAUCCGUGAUAACACUAUGGGGUGAAUGAAGGAGAUUAAUAGGAAAUGAGUUAAAUUGAUAAUAUUUCAUUGGAGAAGACCAUGUAUGGAGAAAGCCAGCGAUGCAUGCAUCAGACACUUCAAGAUAGGAAAUAAUUUAAUCAUAAGAUUUUUUCCAAAGAAAAUAACAAAAUCCAUAUUUUAUCUUAUUUCAUUAUAAGUUGUAGAACGAAGUAACGAAAACGUUAUAUGUGUACGAUACUAAUAAAAAUACUCGACUGUAGAACUAACAGGCUAAAUGUGGCUGUUG